UGGGGAAUAUUGGACAAUGGGGGCAACCCUGAUCCAGCAAUGCCGCGUGAGUGAUGAAGGCCUUAGGGUUGUAAAGCUCUUUUACCCGGGAUGAUAAUGACAGUACCGGGAGAAUAAGCCCCGGCUAACUCCGUGCCAGCAGCCGCGGUAAUACGGAGGGGGCUAGCGUUGUUCGGAAUUACUGGGCGUAAAGCGCGCGUAGGCGGUUUUUCAAGUCAGGGGUGAAAGCCCGGAGCUCAACUCCGGAAUUGCCUCUGAAACUGGAUGACUUGAGUCUUGGAGAGGCGAGUGGAAUUCCGAGUGUAGAGGUGAAAUUCGUAGAUAUUCGGAAGAACACCAGUGGCGAAGGCGACUCGCUGGACAAGUACUGACGCUGAGGUGCGAAAGCGUGGGGAGCAAACA
rnacentral:rRNA from 1 species